GAUGAACGCUGGCGGCGUGCCUAAUACAUGCAAGUCGAGCGAACAGACGAGGAGCUUGCUCCUCUGACGUUAGCGGCGGACGGGUGAGUAACACGUGUAUAACCUACCUAUAAUACUGGUAUAACUUCGGGAAACCGGAUCUAAUACCGUAUAAUAUAUUGAACCGCAUUGUUCAAUAGUGAAAGACGGUUUUGCUGUCUCUUAUAGAUGCAUCUGCGCCGCAUUAGCUAGUUGGUAAGGUAACGGCUUACCAAGGCAACGAUGCGUAGCCGACGUGAGAGAGUGAUCGGCCACACUGGAGCUGGGACACGGUCAAGGCUACUACGGGAGGCAGCAGUAGGGAAUCUUCCGCAAUGGGCGAAAACCUGACGGAGCAACGCCGAGUGAGAGAUAGCAGUCUUCGGAUCGUAAAACUCUGUUAUUAGGGAAGAACAAAUGUGUAAGUAACUAUGCACGUCUUGACGGUACCUAAUCAGAAAGCAACGGCUAGCUACGUG
rnacentral:rRNA from 1 species